ACUAAAUACUUCCUUAAUCUACCUAUAUUGUAUGGGAACUUCGGGGGUUUGAGGUGUAGUGGUAGGUAAGGUAAUGAUGCCCCAAUACAGUCCUUCCCCCAUUCCAAUAUUUCUCCCUUUGUCCAGUCGAUACGAGGAUUGUGCUAACUAAGCCAAGGAAAUCCUAACAUGAUGGGACAAGAAGAAGAAUAAAUUAUUUGAAAUGUUAUCUCCUCCUUGUGUAAGGCCCCAAUAGAAAUGUUAAUGGGCAAGGUUUUGUGGGUGAUUAAGGGUGAGAUAGAGGUCUCCGAUCAAUAACCU